ACUGCUCGCCCUGCUUCAGGAUGCCUUCACCCCCAGCCUAGAAGACAGCGCUGUAGUCAGGGACUUAAAAGCUGCUGUAAAGAAUAACUUGGGGACAAGAUAUGAUGGACAAAAGGACACCUUGUAUGCAGCGUCCGCGCUGGAUCCUCGCUUUAAGGCCCUUCCAUUCCUGUCUGCUUCAGAACAAAAUGACACCUUCUCCAGGCUGCAGGCUGAGGCUGCCACUGCUGCACGUGAUCAAGAUGGUGGCAAUGAUACUGAUAAAGAAGCUGAGGAUACUUUGCCCAAGAAGCCAAAGAAAUCCAGCACCUUGGAGUCUCUCCUUGGGACAGUCUAUUCAACAACAGUAAAAGAUCAGGGACUGAAAACUCCAGCAAUAAGGGCUGAAGAUGAAGUUAGAAGAUACAAAGCUGAAAAUCCUGCUGGGCUGAAUGAAAAUCCUUUGAUCUGGUGGAAGUUAAACGAAAGGGAAUAUCCACUGUUGGCUCGCCUUGCAAGGCAUUAUCUUUGUGUCCCAGGGACCAGUAUUGCAUCAGAGAGGGUAUUUUCAACAGCUGGUGACAUUGUCACUGCAAAAAGGAGCUGCCUAAGCACAGAUCAUGUGAAUGAACUUAUUUUUCUCCACAAGAAUCUCACAAUUAAUGAGAAGUGAAAAGAAAGACAAUAAUUUGACUUAGCAGUUCAACUUAUUUUGUAUUUAUUUGCCAGUAUUUUUUGGCCCUUAAAAUAGAAAAUCCCUUGAUGC